AAGGAGCAUUCAACUGGCCGCAGGCGUCAUCCCCUUGGGGGUGGGCGUGUGGUCGGUGGCCGCUGUUGACAGCGAGUGUCUGUCAGGUGGCUGCUCAUAGAUGUGGAGCACUGGCUAUUCGGUGGCACUCGUGUGCGGCCCGGUUAGUACCGCCCUGUGAGGGGAGUGGGAACGUCGGUGCCGGGUGCGGGAGCUGGCGGGCACGCUGUUGGGUCCUGAGGAAACGGACCCUUCAGCCCCUGAUCGUCGUGGUUUUCGGACCGGGUGUUAAUGGGGCUGGGGUUGUUUCUUCUGGAAUCGCGGGGCCCGAAGUUCCUGGUCCUUUGCGGGUUUGCAAGGGCUUGGUGGGUUCCGGGUGGUUUUUUGAGAACUGCACAGUGGGACGCCGAAGCAUUCUCUGAACCAAGAGCCUUCGGGUUUUUGUUCUCUGUUGCGAUUUUGUUGAUCGUUUUGU
rnacentral:misc_RNA from 1 species